UAAAUUGAUACAUAGACUAAGUGCGUUUAUUCUAUUAGAAGGGUUCGAUUUUAACUGCAUGAAGAUAGUUUUAAACAGCUGGCCGUAUCGGAAAAGUUUUAUUCAAUCUACCCCAAUAUUUGCAAUAUAGAGAUAUUGCCCGAAGCCAAAAGUGUACUAAUUGUGAGACUCUAAUUCUGAUUAGGUAGAUCACAAACAACACGUAAGGUUCCGCCAAAGGCGGUAUUGCACUUUGAUCCUCUGACUGGCAGGAUGGGAUAUUGUGUCAUCCGGUUUCCAUUAAUUGUUUAGCUUGGACAAACAAGGUGUAUAUAUAUUAUUUUGUACUUCACUAUAAGGAACACUGGACAGGGAUGAAAAAAUGGAGGAAAAUAUGGUAAUGGUAAAAGUAGAAAACAACACAGUUCUUGCUGCCAGCAAUAUAGUGGAGAACAAUACAACAGACAAAACAGACAAAGACAGGAUGCAAAAAUGGAGAAAGCAAUGGAAGAUAUGGUAAUAGUAUAUGUAGAAAGCAACAUAGAUCCUGCUGCCAGCAAUAUAGAGGAGAACAGUACAACAGAAAAAGGGAGUUAGUUGAAAUCAAGAUUGUUUUAUGGUCUACUUUAGAAAUGGAAGCUUUGAAGCGUCAGCUUGGUAAAUUGUUUGCUUUGGGGAAGCAUGAAAUAGAAAAAGCUAAAAGAAAUGAGCUUAUCUUGAGUAAAAGGCCAUGGACUCAGAUCAAGUUUUUCGCCAAAACACAAAACAAUCAAUGGGCAGGAAUGCAGUAAAAAUGUCUUCAAGAUUUAAAUUGUUUUCCCAUUCUGGAAGAGGAUGAUUCAAUAUUGUUUUAGCGUAGUCUGUCUUAUCUUCUGUGCGCCAUAUCUAAGACAUUGCAUCGAGUAUUUAGAUAAACCUAGGUAGAAAUGUUGAACCUUUUUGAUACAAAUAUAUUUUCUAUUCACAUAUUUAUGAAGCAAUUUUACACAAAUAUCUCUAUUGUAUACUUAAUAAAGUUUUGUUUGAUGUAUAAUACAUAUAAUAUUACCUUUCAGGUAUUGAAUACAUUCAACAUCUUCCAUAUUAUCCAUUUAAUAGAAUAUCCUCUAAAUGACGGUCAAAUCUUGGCAUUUACAACUCCAUGUUGAAAACAUUUUAGUACAACCUGUUUCUUGUCCGUCUUUGCUAACUUAGGGUACUUCCCUUUCAUAGCUCUGAUUACUGUUACAGGUGAUUGAUAAUAUAAUUUUACCACUUCAGAACAUUGUUACUUGGACGGCAUCAUCUUGAAAAACCGCCAACAGGAAAUGACCUCAUUGAAAUUGUCAUGACGUAAACGUUUUCCUGUACUUUUGUGUUUAUAAAAAGACUUCAUCCCUCUACUUUCCAUUGAUGUAUAUUUUGUUUUUUAUAGCUUAAACAAUGCCUAAUGUAUAGUGUUUUGUAAUGGGGACAUAUAUUUAACUUGAUGCAAUAGUGUUAUAAAGUAAAGGAAUGAUUUAUGAUGACAUCAGUGCUAUUGGCAGAUAUCUUAGUAAAAUGGUACUGGCACUGUGCUAAAAGAAUACAUAAACAAAACACUGGAAUGUAUCAAUAUCAAUAGUUAUUGGAUUUCAUGAUGACUCCAAUUAUAGGUUUCGGAAUUACAGCCCCUGAUUGACUCCUGAAAGAGCCAAAAUAGUUAAUGUUUACCUUGUGAACCUGGUAGAAGUGACAUUUAACAUUCGAUUUUAACCACACUUACACACAACUUACAGCCCUGCUCCGCGGUUAUUCAAAUUCCUUUGUGUGUAUGCAACCCAUGAUUUCAAUGGGUAACAGUUAACAGCCAUGAGCCACACUUUAGCACGCAAAAUGACAGGUAUUUCAUUAGAAUUUUAUAUAAAAUAGACUCUAUUUUGAUAGAAGUUACUGUUCAUAGUCAGGAUUUUCAUGCUUUCUUCAGUGACAAUUCAAGGUUAAAAGGUAGGACGGGAGGAGGGCUUUAAGUCAAAGUAAGAUAUUGCUUCCUUUCGAAAAUCGCUAGAUUUUAUCAUUGAUUCUAGAGUUACUGCCCCUGCAAUAUUUUGCUUUGGCCCUUUCAGCUAUAUAGAAGUUUCAUUUCUACUUUGAUUGGUACAAGCUUGCACAGAAUCUUUAUAUUGAUGAUUUCUAGGCCCGGAUUGAAACUGAUUAUCAUGUGGGGGAAAAAACUGGGUCACCAGGUCAAAUCAAAGGGAAAGCUUGUGUACACCCUUGAGGCUACAUUUAUAUCACUAUCUUAAUGAAACUUGGUCAGAAUGUUAAUCUUGAUGAUCUUUAGGUUAAGAUUACACUGUGUGCUGGGUCAUUCUUAUGACCUCUUUGUUAACUGGCUGGGUCAUGAUGUGUCCCAGUUCCCCUCUGGUUAUAGUCAUAGUCCUGUGGUGGUUCGUUCAAAUGACCUCUCUGGCAACUGGCUUGCUCAUGAUGUGUUCCAGUUUCCCUCUGGUUAUAGCCUUGUUCUUCAUUAUCUUACCCUUCCUAUUACUGCAUCUCAUAGUUAUAAAAUAGUAAAUAGUAAAAUUUCAAAACGUACACUACGUUCGUCAGAAUCAUCAUUAGGAUGCUACGUUGUCCCUUAUAACAAGAAAAAAUAAACAUUCAGUGACAGAAGCUUCAGUACGGUUGGACCGAAACUUUGGAACGAACUGCCAUUAAAUCUCAGCCAAAGUGAAUCAGUUAAAAUCUUCAAAAAGCAGUUGAAAACUCACUUCUUCAAAGACUACUAUUCAUUGUUCUAAAAUUCAUACUACAGCAAUUACAUUGAAGCAAAUCAAGACUUUGUGUUAAUACUGAUGAAUUGUUUUUUCUGUUUUUAAUGCAUGAGUGUACAACGCCAUUGAAGAUGCUUUGUGUGUUGAAAUAGGCUUUUAAGAAAAUUCUCAAGUUUCAAAUUCUCAAGUUUCAAAUCCAGCAUCUUGAAUUCCAUACUCCUGUUGGUAAUUAGGCUGCUCUCCCAUGUAACCCCCUUCACUCUCAUCAUAAUGCCCUUCAUAUGUACGCUGUUCCAGUCCACCCCCUUGACUGUAUGCUUGCUGAUUGUUUGCUUGUCAACGAUUGUGUUUAAAAGACAUUACCUCUGAACAGAUUUUGAUGAAACUUGUCAUGGAUGGUCCUCUACCAAUGUUGUCCGCUUGGUUGCACACAGGGGCCGUCAGAGCUAAAAAUAGGAAAAUCU
rnacentral:lncRNA from 1 species